GGGGAAUAUUGCACAAUGGAGGGAACUCUGAUGCAGCAACGCCGCGUGAGUGAAGAAGGUUUUCGGAUCGUAAAACUCUGUCAUUGGGGAAGAAUAAAUGACGGUACCCAAUGAGGAAGCCCCGGCUAACUACGUGCCAGCAGCCGCGGUAAUACGUAGGGGGCGAGCGUUGUCCGGGAUUACUGGGCGUAAAGGGUACGUAGGCGGCUAUAUAAGUCAGGUGUGAAAUACCAGUGCUUAACACUGGAAUUGCAUUUGAAACUGUGUAGCUUGAGUGCAGGAGAGGAAAGUGGAAUUCCUAGUGUAGCGGUGAAAUGCGUAGAGAUUAGGAGGAACACCAGUGGCGAAGGCGACUUUCUGGACUGUAACUGACGCUGAGGUACGAAAGCGUGGGUAGCGAAC
rnacentral:rRNA from 1 species